rnacentral:rRNA from 1 species
GACGAACCGUGCGACCGUUGUUCGGAUUCACUGGGCUUAAAGGGCGCGUAGGCGGGCGGUCAAGUCAGGGGUGAAAUCUUUCGGCUCAACCGGAAAAGUGCCUUUGAUACUGGCCGUCUUGAGGGAGGUAGGGGCAUGCGGAACUUCCGGUGGAGCGGUGAAAUGCGUAGAUAUCGGAAGGAACGCCGGUGGCGAAAGCGGCGUGCUGGACCUCUUCUGACGCUGAGGCGCGAAAGCCAGGGGAGCAAACGGG